AGUCUUCACCUGCACUCCAGUUUGUUGUGUUCUCUACCCUCGAGCAAGCCCUAUCAAGUUGACGUUUCUGCCUGCUGAGUUUGAUCCCAGUCCUGUUUUUGGACAUCGAGUCAAGUCUACCUCUGGUUGGUGUAUGCCUUAGUUUUGGAUAGAACUUCAUGUGCAAACCCUGGUCUGGAUUUUACAUGGAUUCUCUGGUGCUCCAAUUCCCCAUGUUGAUGUCUCCAGUGUGCCUCUCUACGCAAAAGGCUAUUUCCUGGAGACUCCGCUGCAUCUGGCAGUAUCAUCUUCCAUUACCACCGGAGGGGUAUUCCGGAAAGCGAAGUUAACCUGCCCUGACUUUAACCCUGAACUCUUGCAGUCACAAUGGAAACUCAUCGAGAAAAGAAUGCAAUACUUCAGUGAGACAGAGUUGGAGGGUUCAAUGGUGGCCUAUGAAGAGUAUAAGGCUAUCAUAACUAAAAGCAUUACGGCUGCAUCAGCAAGAGACUUGUCUGCUUGGUGAAAAAUAACAGAAGGUGUAAACAAGUGAGUUUUUUUUAAUCGUAUUUCCAUUGUUAUACAAAAUGAUUAUUUGAAAAAAUUUAAUUUUUUAUAUAUUAA